GAGUGAAGUGAUGCUUUACCAUCUUUCGGGACUUACCCAUUAAUGGGGAUAACUUUUUUCCACUGAUCACUC